AUGUCGGCCAGUUGCAUGUCCAUCAUUAGAGUUGUAGUCGCACGUGUCGACGUCACAAUCCGCCUGCAACUGCAGGGGGGACAAUGCAACUACAACUGGAGGGGAGGGAUGUCAUCCAGUUGCAUGUCCAUCACUAGAGUUGCAACUGCACAAAUCGCAUAUGUCUGCAACUACAAGGCGUACAACGCGACUGCAACUGAAGGGGAGAGAUGUGGGCUGGUUGCAUGCCCAUCACUAGAGUUGCAACUGCACGUGUCGCAACCCACCAACAACUGCAAGUGGUACAACGCGACUGCAAUGGAGGGGGAGGGAUGUCCGCCAGUUGCAUGUCCAUCAUUAAAGUUGCAACUGCAUGUGUCGCAACCCGCCUGCAACUGCAAUUUAUGUGAAUCGUUGGUAGUCUCCGCCGAUCAAUUUUCGUCCUACCUUCCACGUUUUUUUUCGUCGGUUGUUUUUCGUUUCACCUCGCAUCGCAGCACCCGCUGCAAAACGAGAAAAAAAAACCGUACGCCUCCGCUCCUCUCUCGAUCCACCCCUCGCGAUGCCACCUCUCUCUCCCUCUUAGGGUGCCCUCAAGCGAGGCCUCCAGAUCCCUUCGCCGCCAGCCUCCGAUCUCCUCCCCGGCUCCCGGCGCCGCCCGCCCCCAUCUCCUCCCCCGAUCCCGGCGCCACCCGCCCCCACCUUCUCCCUCACUCCCGGCGCCGCCCCGCGAUCCAUUGCAUCACGGUGGGACGAGUCAUGGCAAUGGUGACGGCGGCCGACAUGGUGUCCCGGCCGCUGCAUGUCUCCCUCCUCCCGCGAUCCCGGCCGCUGCAUGUCUCCCUCCUCCCCCGAUCCCGGUCGCCGCAUGUCUCCCUCCACCUGCAGCCGCACCUCUGCCCCUCGCCUCCCGCAUCGGCGCCAGAAGCCUUUUACGUCACGGAUCCGAGAGACUGGAGGCCGAUCUUGCCGGUGAGGAGAUGGUGGCGGCGCCGACGAGCCGCCCCCCUUGGCGCCGUUGCCGCUGGGCACCGAGACAAAGGAGUGGUGGAUGCCAACGCCUCGAGGCCUGCCUCAAGUACAGAUCAUCAGCGGCAAAUAUUCAAUCAACAUACGACCACUGAGGGGAUCCACCGGUGGUAUGUGGAUAAUCCAAACUGCUUAUUUUUUGUCCGACACCGCCCCACCUUCAGUGACCUGAUUGCUAGCAAAAUGUCACAACAGCUGCUAGGACUGAAGGCCGAAGUAAUUUCUAAUUGGUUGCAUACUUGCCAAAGAUCAUAUGACACAGUAGCCAUGGACGCCACAUCAGCUUGGGAACAUGGCCACAACAGAUUGGUAUCUUCUCUUCUGAAAUUGGUUGCAUACUUGCCAAAGAAUCAUGAUGAAUCUUUGAUCAACACUGUCAAAGAUGAAAAGGCGAAUUCUUCGAUUCCCCGGGCUGUCAAGGAUUUUGUACUUCCAGCAGUACAUGCUAUUGGAAUUCCCAACAAACUUGACAGGAUGGAUCAGUCACACGUUGGUUACAUCAAGUCUUCUAAAGGUCGGCCCCAUGUUGCCACCGUGGCCGGUGACUCGGGUGGAUCCAAUCCCCCCGGCCUCCAGGGUCAUUGUGCCCUCUCUCCAUUACCUCCUUCGUCGCUGGAGGAUGCUGACGGGCUAAGCCUAGGGGGAGACAUCAGAUCUACCUUCUUGGCUCGGAGGGUGUCAUGGGUGGCGCACAACUCCCCCCUAUCGACAGAAACACAUGGGGAGGGGAACAGAACAGAGAGCGGGGCGGUUGGCGGGGGACUCCUCGGCGUCCGUAGCAACGCACGGGCAUUCUACUGGACUGACAUAAAGAAGGAGGUCAAUGAAGCAAAAGGCACGAAAAGGAAGGAGCAGCGCCACAGGGACGAUGUUGUCGGCAGCGCUUUGGAAGGAUUCGCUCCAGAGAAGUUACGGGGACGGCUCAUGCCAUCCACUUCCAAAGCAAUAAGUACUAAGCACUAUCUAUUUAUUAAGGAUGAGCCCACUGUCAUAGACAUGAUCCCAGCAAACUUUUUCCCUAGCUUCGCCCCUGACUAUAUGGGAAAAGCAGGGACGGGAGCUCCUAAUUGGCGCCUGCAGCACCAAUUAGGUGCCUAUAUGGAGAAGCAGCGAAACGUCGGCUACAUAAGUUCGAUGAGGGAAGGACAACGGAGAACAAUUAUCAAGAUUCGUAAGAAAAGUUUUGUGCUUCGACGUCGUAACGAGUAUGGCACCUUCACAUGGAGUGAAGGCCGUAUGACCAGCACCACAUCGUUGUACCGUGAAAUGUCUGCUCGCGUGCGUCUAAGGUUGGCACUGGACCGGUUCUCUGAUCUCAAGAGCAGAGGGAUGCUUAGGUGGGAGGCUUAUAGAAAACAUCGCGUGAGCAUCAACACCGCAUUACGGACCAUCGGGGAGGCCAUCAUGAGAUUAAGAAAACGUCGUGUGGAGGCCGGGCUAUUCUACUUGGUGCCACAAGCAGAUAGGGCUGCGAUACAAGUCCGCACCCACUUAUUUAGUAUGCCUUUGAAAGAAGCGUUAAGGAAACGGCGACUAGAACUCAGAAAGAAGAAGCAACUCCUGGAUGCGUACAAUAAUUCUCAGAAAUCUAUCCCCUACAACAACGGGGUCUCCCUGAUGCGAGCAUCAGUAAAGAGAUUGUUGUUGUAUACUCUAACCUCUGUUGUAUUAGGUUGUGCAAUAGUACUCUUUUGA
rnacentral:rRNA from 1 species